rnacentral:rRNA from 1 species
GGAAGUAAAAGUCGUAACAAGGUUUCCGUAGGUGAACCUGCGGAAGGAUCAUUACCGAGUGAGGGCCCUCUGGGUCCAACCUCCCACCCGUGUUUAUUUUACCUUGUUGCUUCGGCGGGCCCGCCUUUACUGGCCGCCGGGGGGCUUACGCCCCCGGGCCCGCGCCCGCCGAAGACACCCUCGAACUCUGUCUGAAGAUUGUAGUCUGAGUGAAAAUAUAAAUUAUUUAAAACUUUCAACAACGGAUCUCUUGGUUCCGGCAUCGAUGAAGAACGCAGCGAAGUGUGAUACGUAAUGUGAAUCGCAAAUUCAGUGAAUCAUCGAGUCUUUGAACGCACAUUGCGCCCCCUGGUAUUCCGGGGGGCAUGCCUGUCCGAGCGUCAUUUCUGCCCUCAAGCACGGCUUGUGUGUUGGGCCCCGUCCUCCGAUCCCGGGGGACGGGCCCGAAAGGCAGCGGCGGCACCGCGUCCGGUCCUCGAGCGUAUGGGGCUUUGUCACCCGCUCUGUAGGCCCGGCCGGCGCUUGCCGAUCAACCCAAAUUUUUAUCCAGGUUGACCUCGGAUCAGGUAGGGAUACCCGCUGAACUUAAGCAUAUCAAUAAGCGGAGGA